CCUGACCUCUGAGGGUUCACAUUCUCAACAGCUCCAGGGCAGUCAAGGCAAUUCCAUUAGCAUAUCUGUUCUCCAGACAGAUAUUUUUAGCAGCAGAUAGCCUGAAUGCAUCCAAAGAAUGCACCUGUUAGAUGGAAAGCUAGAUCUGGCAACCAUACAAUCUAAUUUCAAGAGAGCCAAGUCAGUCGUGUGCUGAACUAUGGGACACAACAGGAAAUCUAUUGACUUUAGGCUCAUGACAGCUGUUUUGCAAAGUAGGCUAAAAGCUCCAUCUGCUAAUGUUAGCCCGCUCCUUGGAAAGGCAUCUCUUUUCUACAUGAAGAAUCAGGCGUCACUAUUGAAUCGAUGGCAGCCUAGCCUCCCAUUUAUCUGUCCGAUAGAAUUUCUUGAGUGAAAAAUAUGUCCAAAUAUAAUCAAAGGGAAAAACUGAAUGUACUUCUGUUCGAGGUAUAGUCUGUGAAAAUGAAUAACAAUCCCACUUAUGCAUCUCUUAUUGACUAUGGAGCGUAUGAAAGAAAAACCUUAAGUAAAACCAGCAGAUCCAUUUGGAGUGGUAGAGCAAACUGUGUACAGUAUAAGCGCUACGCAACCUUUGCCACGAGGGAAGAAAUCAGCCAAGAUUGAAGUACAUCUGGAUCAAAACCAUGGCAACCAUAAAACCCAGCGAGAGAUAGGCUAUGCUUGGUGGCCUUAUUCUCUUUCUUUGCUAGACACUACUUCCUUUUCCCACUGUUGCCAGCCCAUGGCACAGAGGAGUGGAUAAGGAAAAGCAAACAUUUAUUGAAAGCCUGUGAUGUGUUAGGCACUUUACACAUCCUAACUCACUUCGUUUCUAUGAUCAUCUUCUGUGGUAGGUUACUAUUAUCCUCAUUUAGCAGAUGGGGAAACUGAGUCUCAGGAAGACUAGUUGGGAUCUAAAUCUGGGUCUAUCUGACUCCAUUAGCCCAUAUAUAUUUUUUUCAUGAUAUCAUGCUAGAUAAGAAAAAGAGAAAGGUGGAUGAUGGCAAAUAUUAUACCAUACCUCUUGGGACAUCGUACAUUGGUUAAGUAUUAUUCAUUUUAUCAAUUAUAUUGCCAUAGACACAUAAAAUUGCUGUAAUUGUCAUUCUAUGCUGUGACUUUCAGAAUCCCUGGCAAAGAAUGCCAUUUCCUAAUCAACCAAAUUUUCAAUUACUCCAUCUUGGUAAUCUCUUUACUUUCACUGUCCUGUUAAAUCCUGGAUAUACUUUAAUCAUCCUCGGGCUUUUAGCUCCCAUUUUCAGCUCUGCAUCUCCGCCUGGCCCUGUUAUCUCUUGGAUGUCUCAUCAUGAAAUUGGCUAGGUCAGAGUGUAUCACACAUCUCUUAUUCAUCUUCAGAGCUCCACCCAAUUCCACUCUUAUCUCUACCUGGAUUCUCAGUUUGAGCUACACCCUUCCCACCACUCCCCUUUUUUCACCAAUCCUCAUUCCUGACCUCGACUUUAUCCCCUU
rnacentral:lncRNA from 1 species